rnacentral:lncRNA from 1 species
ACACCGUAAAAUUUGAUCCUUUCGAAUAGAGAUAAUUUAAUUUAAUUAUGUAUUUUUGUGCUCAUGAAAUAUAGGAAAAAAAUAUUUUUCAUUAAAAUAAAAUUUAACCAUAGAAGUUAGCAACAUGUUUGAGCAUGCAUGCCUUUGCAAUUGAUUUAUUGAAAUGUGUGGAUUUGACAAAAUAAAAAAAAAUAUAUUUCAAACUAAUUUUAAAAUGGAUUUGAAAUAGGUUUUGAAUUUAAAAGAAAAGGAAAACAGAAAAAAAGAAGUUCUCCCCUCUCCCAGGAUUUUGGCCCGAAGGCCCAGCCCUCCUCGCUCUCUUUCGGCUUUCUGGCCCAGUCAACAUUGCGGCCCAGCAUCAGGCCAAGGCCCGCUCGGACGUGGCCCUUUUCCCCUCUUAGCUCUUGGGCCAGAGCCCAUUCACCCCCC